GGGUGACAGGCAUGGCGACAACAAAAAAGGUAGAGUCAAGCUUUUGGGGGCAAAGUUAACGAGAUCCAAAGCGCAUCCUAACCUCAAAAAGUGAGGGAUUCCUAUGCCCGCGAGCGUCCUGCCUGCCCCUCCCCUCCCCUCCCUCUACCCCCGUGUGUGUGUGUGUGUAUGUGCAAUGUGGCGCACUUCCUGGUUGGGCGCACGUUGCUUUCCUGCACUCCCGCCCCCUUGGCACCUCGAACCCCCACUUCUAUCUAAAAUCCCCCUCCCAGUGGCGUAGCUGUUGUGCCUGCCUCUGUUUGUUAAUGAAAAGAAUGAAGAAAACCGACCAAGAAGCAGGAUUUGAAGUGUCACCGACCGGUGAAUACCGUGCACAUUGCACACAUUAUAAUGGGAAAAAUAAUUGUGAAUUAUGUAGAACAUAUACUUUGUGGUCAAUUAAUAUCUACCUUUAAAAACUAAAA